rnacentral:rRNA from 1 species
GAUGAACGCUAGCUACAGGCUUAACACAUGCAAGUCGAGGGGCAUCAGGAAGAAAGCUUGCUUUCUUUGCUGGCGACCGGCGCACGGGUGAGUAACACGUAUCCAACCUGCCCUUUACUCGGGGAUAGCCUUUCGAAAGAAAGAUUAAUACCCGAUAGCAUAAUGAUUCCGCAUGGUUUCAUUAUUAAAGGAUUCCGGUAAAGGAUGGGGAUGCGUUCCAUUAGGUUGUUGGUGAGGUAACGGCUCACCAAGCCUUCGAUGGAUAGGGGUUCUGAGAGGAAGGUCCCCCACAUUGGAACUGAGACACGGUCCAAACUCCUACGGGAGGCAGCAGUGAGGAAUAUUGGUCAAUGGGCGGUAGCCUGAACCAGCCAAGUAGCGUGAAGGAUGAAGGCUCUAUGGGUCGUAAACUUCUUUUAUAUAAGAAUAAAGUGCAGUAUGUAUACUGUUUUGUAUGUAUUAUAUGAAUAAGGAUCGGCUAACUCCGUGCCAGCAGCCGCGGUAAUACGGAGGAUCCGAGCGUUAUCCGGAUUUAUUGGGUUUAAAGGGAGCGUAGGUGGACUGGUAAGUCAGUUGUGAAAGUUUGCGGCUCAACCGUAAAAUUGCAGUUGAUACUGUCAGUCUUGAGUACAGUAGAGGUGGGCGGAAUUCGUGGUGUAGCGGUGAAAUGCUUAGAUAUCACGAAGAACUCCGAUUGCGAAGGCAGCUCACUGGACUGCAACUGACACUGAUGCUCGAAAGUGUGGGUAUCAAACAGGAUUAGAUACCCUGGUAGUCCACACAGUAAACGAUGAAUACUCGCUGUUUGCGAUAUACAGUAAGCGGCCAAGCGAAAGCAUUAAGUAUUCCACCUGGGGAGUACGCCGGCAACGGUGAAACUCAAAGGAAUUGACGGGGGCCCGCACAAGCGGAGGAACAUGUGGUUUAAUUCGAUGAUACGCGAGGAACCUUACCCGGGCUUAAAUUGCAGUGGAAUGAUGUGGAAACAUGUCAGUGAGCAAUCACCGCUGUGAAGGUGCUGCAUGGUUGUCGUCAGCUCGUGCCGUGAGGUGUCGGCUUAAGUGCCAUAACGAGCGCAACCCUUAUCUUUAGUUACUAACAGGUCAUGCUGAGGACUCUAGAGAGACUGCCGUCGUAAGAUGUGAGGAAGGUGGGGAUGACGUCAAAUCAGCACGGCCCUUACGUCCGGGGCUACACACGUGUUACAAUGGGGGGUACAGAAGGCAGCUAGCGGGUGACCGUAUGCUAAUCCCAAAAGCCUCUCUCAGUUCGGAUCGAAGUCUGCAACCCGACUUCGUGAAGCUGGAUUCGCUAGUAAUCGCGCAUCAGCCACGGCGCGGUGAAUACGUUCCCGGGCCU